UACGGAGGAUCCAAGCGUUAUCCGGAUUUAUUGGGUUUAAAGGGUGCGUAGGCGGCCUAUUAAGUCAGACGUGAAAACCCUGGGCUUAACCCAGGAACUGCGUUUGAAACUGGAAGGCUUGAGGACCGGAGAGGGUAGUGGAAUUCCCAGUGUAGCGGUGAAAUGCGUAGAUAUUGGGAGGAACACCAGUGGCGAAGGCGACUGCCUGGACGGCACCUGACGCUGAGGCGCGAAAGCUAGGGGAGCAAACGGG
rnacentral:rRNA from 1 species